AACGAACGCUGGCGGCAGGCUUAACACAUGCAAGUCGAACGCCCCGCAAGGGGAGUGGCAGACGGGUGAGUAACACGUGGGAACGUACCCUUUACUACGGAAUAACGCAGGGAAACUUGUGCUAAUACCGUAUGUGCCCUUCGGGGGAAAGAUUUAUCGGUAAAGGAUCGGCCCGCGUUGGAUUAGCUAGUUGGUGGGGUAAAGGCCUACCAAGGCGACGAUCCAUAGCUGGUCUGAGAGGAUGAUCAGCCACAUUGGGACUGAGACACGGCCCAAACUCCUACGGGAGGCAGCAGUGGGGAAUAUUGGACAAUGGGCGCAAGCCUGAUCCAGCCAUGCCGCGUGAGUGAUGAAGGCCUUAGGGUUGUAAAGCUCUUUCACCGAUGAAGAUAAUGACGGUAGUCGGAGAAGAAGCCCCGGCUAACUUCGUGCCAGCAGCCGCCGUAAAAC
rnacentral:rRNA from 1 species